GGAGACAAUUAUACUGGAAUAUUUAUAUACAAUAGGAAAAAUCUAAUUCACAAUAUGCAUCCCCCGACAUCCAUGAACGUCUACGAAAGUGGAAGGACGAAGGCUGAUUAUCAGACAAACCUGGAAUACACGGAACCAGAUACUUACUCCUGCAGUGUAUUCACCGUAUAUUUCAUGAGUAACAAGAUCACAGAUGAUUUUCAUAAGUGCGAAAUGUACAUAAGAGAAAGUCACCUCGGAAGUGGACCCACAUCUGGCUGUGAGAACUACUUCAACCAAAAAUGCCGUGG